rnacentral:lncRNA from 1 species
UGCUGGCGGUUCAAGCAUGGUAAUAUAAAUAGGGGCACAUUUUCUUUCCAGAAGUGUAUUUUAGCCAUUUAGUGACAGGACUGUAGUUCCCAGCCUUAAGAAAGCUGUCAUGCCAAAUGGCAGGGAAAAGUGAAAUAAGGCACUCGCCUACCGUUUUUCCAAAGUACGAAGGGGAAGUUGCACCAUAAAGAUGUAGAAGACAAAAUUUAAAAUACUACAUCUUGGAACUGAAUGUGAAAUUCACUCAGUGGCUGACAGCCUGCAUGCCCAUUGCUGAAUCACAAGCAAGACAAUAGGAUGAUGCAGUGCCAUCAGGAAGGGAAGCAAAAGGCUGGGAUUCACUUCACGUGGUGGUAAGUCAGAUGAGAAUGUUGUGCAAUUGACAUUUGUAAUUACAAUGGCAAGGGAUCUUAAGCAGGAAAUGGCCCACUGGUAGAUUAGGAGGACACCGUUACAAAUCACA